rnacentral:pre_miRNA from 1 species
UAAAUACUCCCUCCGUCCCAAAAUUCUUGUCUUAGAUUUGUCCAAAUACAGAUGUAUCAAGUCACGUUUUAGUAUUAGGUACAUCCGUAUCUAGACAAAUCUAAGACAAGAAUUUUGGGACGGAGGGAGUACUAA